CAGUAGCCGCGGUAAUACGAAGGGUGCAAGCGUUAAUCGGAAUUACUGGGCGUAAAGCAUGCGUAGGCGGUUUGUUAAGUCUGUUGUGAAAUCCCCGGGCUCAACCUGGGAAUGGCAAUGGAUACUGGCAAGCUAGAGUGUGUCAGAGGAUGGUGGAAUUCCCGGUGUAGCGGUGAAAUGCGUAGAGAUCGGGAGGAACAUCAGUGGCGAAGGCGGCCAUCUGGGACAACACUGACGCUGAGGCACGAAAGCGUGGGGAGCAAACAGGAUUAGAUACCCGUGUAGUCCCUGUCUCUUAUAC
rnacentral:rRNA from 1 species